CAGCCGCCGCGGGAAAACGGAGGGUGCAAGCGUUAAUCGGAAUUACUGGGCGUAAAGCGCACGCAGGCGGUCUGACAAGUCAGAUGUGAAAUCCCCGGGCUUAACCUGGGAACUGCAUUUGAAACUGUCAGGCUGGAGUCUUGUAGAGGGGGGUAGAAUUCCAGGUGUAGCGGUGAAAUGCGUAGAGAUCUGGAGGAAUACCGGUGGCGAAGGCGGCCCCCUGGACAAAGACUGACGCUCAGGUGCGAAAGCGUGGGGAGCAAACAGGAUUAGAUACCCCAGUAGUCCCUGUCUCUUAUAC
rnacentral:rRNA from 1 species